CCGGAUCUCAGAUCAAGCAAG
rnacentral:rRNA from 6 species